AUGGCGACCGGCGCACGGGUGAGUAACACGUAUCCAACCUGCCGAUGACUCGGAGAUAGCCUUUCGAAAGAAAGAUUAAUACCCGAUGGCAUAGUUCUUCCGCAUGGUAGAACUAUUAAAGAAUUUCGGUCAUCGAUGGGGAUGCGUUCCAUUAGGUUGUUGGCGGGGUAACGGCCCACCAAGCCUUCGAUGGAUAGGGGUUCUGAGAGGAAGGUCCCCCACAUUGGAACUGAGACACGGUCCAA
rnacentral:rRNA from 1 species